rnacentral:rRNA from 1 species
UGGGGAAUAUUGCACAAUGGGGGAAACCCUGAUGCAGCGACGCCGCGUGAGCGAAGAAGGUUUUCGAAUCGUAAAGCUCUGUCCUAUGGGAAGAUAAUGACGGUACCAUAGGAGGAAGCCCCGGCUAACUACGUGCCAGCAGCCGCGGUAAUACGUAGGGGGCAAGCGUUGUCCGGAAUCACUGGGCGUAAAGGGUUCGCAGGCGGAAAUGCAAGUCAGUUGUGAAAGGCAGAGGCUCAACCUCUGUAAGCAAUUGAAACUGUAUUUCUUGAGAUGUGGAGAGGCAAGUGGAAUUCCUAGUGUAGCGGUGAAAUGCGUAGAUAUUAGGAAGAAUACCGGUGGCGAAGGCGACUUGCUGGACACAAACUGACGCUGAGGAACGAAAGCAUGGGUAGCAAACAGG